GACGAACGCUGGCGGCGUGCUUAACACAUGCAAGUCGAACGGAAAGGCCCUUCGGGGUACUCGAGUGGCGAACGGGUGAGUAACACGUGGGUGAUCUGCCCUGCACUUUGGGAUAAGCCUGGGAAACUGGGUCUAAUACCGAAUAGGACCACGCGCCUCAUGGUGUGUGGUGGAAAGCUUUUGCGGUGUGGGAUGGGCCCGCGGCCUAUCAGCUUGUUGGUGGGGUAAUGGCCUACCAAGGCGACGACGGGUAGCCGGCCUGAGAGGGUGACCGGCCACACUGGGACUGAGAUACGGCCCAGACUCCUACGGGAGGCAGCAGUGGGGAAUAUUGCACAAUGGGCGCAAGCCUGAUGCAGCGACGCCGCGUGAGGGAUGACGGCCUUCGGGUUGUAAACCUCUUUCACCAGGGACGAAGCGUAAGUGACGGUACCUGGAGAAGAAGCACCGGCCAACUACGUG
rnacentral:rRNA from 1 species